UCCAGGAAUAGUGGUGCACUCCUGUAGUCCCAGCACUUGGGAGGCUGAGGCAGAAGGAUUGCUUGAGCCUAGGAUUUCAAGGCCAACCUGGACAACAUAAUUAGACCUUGUCUCAA
rnacentral:sRNA from 1 species